rnacentral:tRNA from 1 species
GCGGUGGUGGUGGAAUUGGUAGACACGCUACCUUGAGGUGGUAGUGCUUUCGGGCGUGGGGGUUCAAGUCCCCCCCUUCCGCACCA